AUUGAACGCUGGCGGCAGGCCUAACGCAUGCAAGUCGAGCGGUUGAGGUAGCUUGCUACCGAUGCAGCGGCGAACGGGUGAGUAAUACAUGGGAAUCUGCCUGGUAGUGGGGGACAACGUUUCGAAAGGAACGCUAAUACCGCAUACGCCCUACGGGGGAAAGGGGGGGAUCGCAAGACCUCUCGCUACCAGAUGAGGCCAUGUCAGAUGAGCUUGUUGGUGAGGUAAAGGCUCACAAAGGCGACGAUCUGUAACUGGUCUGAGAGGAUGAUCAGUCACACUGGAACUGAGACACGGUCCAGACUCCUACGGGAGGCAGCAGUGGGGAAUAUUGGACAAUGGGGGCAACCCUGAUCCAGCCAUGCCGCGUGUGUGAAGAAGGCCUUAGGGUUGUAAAGCACUUUCAGUGGGGAGAAAGGUGAUUCACCUAAUACGUGAGUCAAUUGAUGCUACCCACAGAAGAAGCACCGGCUAACUCCGUGCCAGCCGCCGCCGUAA
rnacentral:rRNA from 1 species